UAAAUAAAGAAAAUAUCUAUUAAUAAUAAUAAUAAAAAGGUGAAUACCCUAAAACUUGGGAACAGACUUGGAAUUGGAGGCACUAACCUCUAUAUAAUUGACUUCCUCUUGCAGGAUAUUUGAUCAUAUUGUGAACCCCAAGAUUGUGAACUGGAAACUUUUUUUUAACUUUAUUUAUUAUUAAAUGAUUUCUCUGUGUAUCUCUGGCUGUCUUUGGAUCUUGCUUUGAAACCACACUGGCCAUGAAAUCAAAGAUCAACCUGCUUCUGCCUUCUGAGUGCUGGGACUAAAAGUGUGACCCACUAUACCUGACACUUGGAACUUUUUAUAAUAGAUUUGUGUGUAUCUUCUUGUCUUGUUUCUUUCUUUCUUUUUUCUUUUUUCUUUUUUUUUUUUUUUUUUUUUUUUGGUUUUUUUUUUUUUGGUUUUUUUUUGGUUUUUUCAAGACAGGAUUUCUCUGUGUAGCCCUGGCUGUCCUGGAACUCACUUUGUAGACCAGACCAGGCUGGCUUCAAACUCAGAAAUCCACCUGCCUCUGCCUCCCAAGUGCUGGGAUUAAAGGCGUGCACCACCACCACCCGGUUCUUGUCUUGUUUCUUAAGACAGGGUCUUCACAUGUAGCCCUAGCUGGCCUGAAUCUUGUCAUGAAGCCUAGGCUGACCUCAAAUUCACAGAGCUCUGCCUGCCUCUUCUUCCAAAUGAUGGGAUAAAUGGUGUGUGCCUUCACAUCCAGCUACUUGUGUUUAUCUUACUUAUUAAAUAAUUGAUACUGUUCCCUGCGUAACUUUUCCUUAUUAUGUCUGUGUUGCUGUGUCUGUGAGGGUAUGGGUGUAGAUACCCAUGAAGGCCAGGAGAGGGCAUCAGAUCUCUUAGAGCUUGAUUGACAGGUGUUGAUGAGCAGCCUGAUUUGGGUGCUAGGGUCUUAACUCUGGUUGUCAUGGUUAAGCAGCAAGUGCUUUUAACCACUGCCCAAGCUCUCCAGACCCCAUAUUUUUUUUCUUAGUAUCUUCAAUGUUUCUAGGCUCCAAACUUCAUCUGCAUUUUUUCGAAUUGUCAAAAAUCUUAGCAAUGACAAAUCCACAUAUAAAUGGGCCUGCAGAGUUAAAAUUCAUGUUUAACUGGACUCACAGUGUGCUGAGACACUGCCAGAUCCACUUCGGCCGCCUUAGUUUCCCCUGGUUGUAUUUCUGUACAUUUUGUAGCAUGUCAGUGUCCUUUUUAAACUGUGGAGUUCUGGGUUGGACCCCAUCUGCUCCCACAAGGAAAGGACCAUACUGGCCACUGCCGCUGGUCCCUUAGUGGCUCCUGCUUCACUGCCAGCCUUCCCAUCUGGAUUGGGAUAAGGAGGAACAAUGGCACGCUCUCGUUCUGAAAAGUGCCCAUCUCCUUACUGGUGCCCAUCAUUCCUUUCCACAGCCUGACGUCAGCAUGUAGUCAGAAUACCAUUGCUUCUGGGAAGCAGACGCUAAGGUCAGCGAUUCUCAACCUUUCUGAUGCUGCGACCCCUUAUAGGUCCUCAAGUUGUGGUGACCCCAAACAAAAUUAUUUUUAUUGCUUACUUCACAUCUAAUUUUGCUACUGUUAUGAGUUGUAAAUGUCUUUUGUUUUCCAAAAGUCUUUGACAACCCCAAAAGGGGUCAAGAUCCACAGUUGAGAAUCACUACUCUAAAUUCUGAGCAUUCAUCAACCCAUUCUGAUGCCUCCUACGAGGGCAGCAGGAAGAGCAGAAGUGGGAGGCAACCAGUCGGCUUUGCCAAAAAUUACAGCCGCCCAGAAAGCAUGUUGCAUUUAUUUAUUUAUUUUAAUGUUUAUUUCUAAAGAUAUUUAUUGUUAGUGUAUGUGUGUGUGUGUGUGUGUGUGUGUGUGUGUGUGUGUUGGGGGGAAACCUACCGCAGCAUGGGUGGGAAAGCCAGAGAACAACUUCUAGGGGCUGGUACUCUCCUUUCAUCACAGGAUCUGGGAAUUGAACCUGAGGGCUUUGGGCUUGAUCCACAAGAGAUGACGCCACCCAAGGUCAGCUUGGUGAACCAAUGAGUUUAAUUGGGGUUAAAGUGUAUGAGUGACUUGCUGACAGUUAUUGCACUGAAGAGGGAUCCCAGCAACUGUUAACCACUUAUAUAUCCUUGGGAGGGGCAAGACUUUGUACAAACAUAGCAGCCCUCUAAGACUCCAUAAGGGAACAUUAAUAGGUGCAAACUUGUGUCACUUGAGAGUGAGCACAGCUGUUCUGACUUCAUCUCUCUUAAUCACUAUCUUUUCAUUGCUGUGAAGAGACACCACGACCACAGCAGCUCUUAGAAAGGAAAUGAUUUAAUUGGAGGCUUGCUUACAGUUUCAGAGUGAUCAAGGUUCAAGGUGGCAGGCAUGGUGCUGGAGCAGUAGCUAAGAGCCUAAUCCCCAGGAAGAGAGAGACUGGGCCUGGCAUGGGCUUUGGAAACCUCAAGGCCCACCCCAAGUGACACACUUCCUCCAACAAGGCCACACCUAAUCCUAUCAAAGUUGCUUCUAAUCCUAUCAGAGUUUACUCCCUGGUAACUAAGCAUUCACGUAUGAGCCUAUGGGGACCAUUUCUAUCACACCACCACACUAUGGAUAGUCAGGGUUUCAUGAAUUUUAAGUCCCAUCUUCUCUUUCUUGGUAUAUCCCUCAGUAGUUGCCAAGGGAGACAAGACAGAAGAUAUAUAGUAUUGGAGUCCCAACUGUACUGGCUAAUUCUUAAUUACUGAAAUGUCGGUUGGAAACAUAGAUGCAUCGUACACAAGAACAUACACAUACAAACGCAUAAGCAAGAAAAAAAGUGGGGGGAGGAGGAACACAAAAAAAGGAGCAUUAGAGGCUAAGUUUAGGUGACUUGUCUGGGGAAUAGCUGGGUCAAAAAGAAAGAGGAAAUGAAAAACUUAUAGAAAGUUCUCCAGAUCUCAAACCGUGGCCCAGUGACAGCAUCGUGUAUGGAGGUAGAACCCUUGGCCAAGAGAGCUCAGUCUGGGCUACUGAGAGAAUUCGACGUUUUUCAUGUUGUCCCCUAAUUUUUAUUUUUAGGACCUUUCUCUGUUGCCUAGGCUGGCUUUGAACUCCUGAGCUCUGGUGUCCUUCUUUUCUUCACCUUCCCAACAUGCUAGACAAGACCCCUGGCUUGGGACUACCUCCUCAAAUCAAGAGAGGAUGGUUUUGUGGUUGUUGUUUUUGCCCCUGUGAGAUCAAUGAUGGUGCCCAGGGCCUUGUGCAUACCAGGCAGCCAGAGUGCAUUUUCUAGAAUUCUGUAUGAAUGGAGUCUUAAAUAUAUAUGUAUAUUUUUAAAGAUAUAUUUUAUUUUUAUUUAUGUGUGUUUUGUAUAUUAUGUGUUGUUUUUGCAAGCAUAUGUUCCUGAGUAGAGGUGCCUGCAGAGGGCACCAGAUCCCCUGUGACUAGACUCAGAGAUGGUUAUUGGGGGUGAGAACCAAAUUCUGGUUCUGGAAGAGCAGCAAGGGCUCUUAACUAUUGAGACGUCUCUCAUGCCCCCAUAUAUACUUAAUUUAUUACUUUUACUAUUUAUAUAUUUUUAUUAUAUUAUUUUAUGUGUAUUUUUUAUCAUGUAUGUCUGUAUAUCACAGGCCUGUCUAAUGACUUUCAGAGACAUAAAAUCCCCUGGAAAUAAGAUUUUUGAGUCUCCAUGUGGGUGCUGGGGAUCGAAGUCAGGGCUUUUUGCAUGCUAGGCAAGCAUUCUACCAACUGUGCUACACCCUCAGCUCCAUUUUAGAUUAUUUCUAGGGUAAAAUAUCCAUGAAUGGGAUGGCAAGAUAGUAUGGUGGGCUGUUUUAAAAACACUCUAAAAGCACUGCCAAACUGUCUUUCAAAGUGUGGCACCAUUGUGUGUCCCCCACAGAGUUUGAGAACUCCAACAUCCCAUCUCCUCACCUGAACCUGCCACCAGUCCUUUUAAUGCUUUAAUUUGCCUCUCUGAUAAGUUGCUCACAUUUUCAGAGGGUGAGUUCAUGACCAUCAUGAUGGGGAGCAUGGCGGCAGGCAGGCAGGCAGGCAGGCAGGCAGGCAGGCAGGCAGGCAGGCAGGCAUGGCACUAGAGCAGUAGCUGAGAGCUUACAUCCUUAUCCAGAAGUAGGAAGCAGAGAGAGAGAGCUAACUGAAAAUGGCCCAGACUUUUGACAUUUCAAAGCCCAACCCAGUGUCAAACCUCCUCCAACCAGGCCAUACCUCCUAAUCCUUCUCAAAGAGUUCCAUCCACUGGAGACAUAAGCAUUGAACUGUGAGCCCAUGGGGCCAUUCUCAUUCUAACCACCUCCCAAUCUGUGCAUGUGUAUUUGUGCCUAGCUUAUUUUGUUUAACAUAAUGUUUUCAAGUCUCUUCCAUGUUACACCAUUAUUUGUACUUUAUUCUUUGUUUGUUUGGACACAGGGUCUUUCUGUAGCUUUAGCUGUCUGGAACCUUCAUUCUUUUUUUGUUUUGUUUUGUUUUUUGUUUGUUUGUUUUUGUUUUUUUUUUCAAGACAGGGUUUCUCUGUGUAGCCCUGGCUGUCCUGGAACUCACUUUGUAGACCAAGCUGGCCUCGAACUCAGAAAUCUGCCUGCCUCUGCCUCCCAAGUGCUGGGAUUAAAGGGGUGCGCCACCACUGCCUGGCUUCAUUCUUUUUUCUAGUCAUGUAAUAUUCUACUUUAUGGCUAUGCUACCUUUUAUUCAUUUCCAAGUUGCUUGUCAUUUGGGUUAUUUUUGUUUUUGAGAGGAGAGGAAUUGCUACAAAUUAUACCAUUCUGAACAUACUAGUGUUGUGUGGACCUGGCUUACAGUUCUCUUGGUUAGAACUAGGAUUAGAAUUGCUGGGUCAUGUGGUUAUUCUGUGUUUAACACAGAAUUUGGUUAAAUUUGGAGGAACCACCAAAUUUUUUCCAAAGCAACUGUACCAUUCUACACUCAUACCAGAAAUAUUUUCCUGCCAACUCCACACCAUUCAUUACCUUUCCGUUGUUGUUUUUGUAUGAAGUGGUGUCUCACUAUGGUUUUGGUUUGCACUUUCCUGAUGCUUCAUGACGGCAGUUGUCUGCUUUUCUGUACCUCCUUUAAGGGGCUGCCUCUCCACAGCCUUUGCCCAUCUUCAGACUGUCGCUUCCUUGUCAAGCGGUAUAUUGAUAUAUCUUGAGUGAAAGUCCUUUGCAUGCAUGUGUGUUUAUAAUACUCUUUUUGUCUGUGACUUGACUUUUUAGUUUUUAUGAUCUUUUCCAAAAACCAGAAGACUUCAAUUUUGAGGGAAACCAAUUUAUCAACUUUUACUUUUAUGUUGUGUUUUUGUGUCCUAAGAAACUUUUGUCUAAGGACUGAAGAUGGAUCGAUCAGUGGUUAAGAGUAUUUACUACUCUUCCAGAAGACUUCAGUUAGGGUCUCAUCACUCAUGCAAGGGAGCUUACAACCUCCAGUUGCCAGGAGACCCACCACCCUCUUCUGGUCUCCUAGGGUACUCAUAUGGUGUGUGUGUAUAAUUUAAUGUACAAAUAAAAGUAUUUGAAAAAUCUA